AGUGAACGCUGGCGGUAGGUCUAACACAUGCAAGUCGAACGGCAGCACAGUAAGAGCUUGCUCUUACGGGUGGCGAGUGGCGGACGGGUGAGGAAUACAUCGGAAUCUACUUUUUCGUGGGGGAUAACGUAGGGAAACUUACGCUAAUACCGCAUACGACCUACGGGUGAAAGCAGGGGAUCUUCGGACCUUGCGCGAUUGAAUGAGCCGAUGUCGGAUUAGCUAGUUGGCGGGGUAAAGGCCCACCAAGGCGACGAUCCGUAGCUGGUCUGAGAGGAUGAUCAGCCACACUGGAACUGAGACACGGUCCAGACUCCUACGGGAGGCAGCAGUGGGGAAUAUUGGACAAUGGGCGCAAGCCUGAUCCAGCCAUACCGCGUGGGUGAAGAAGGCCUUCGGGUUGUAAAGCCCUUUUGUUGGGAAAGAAAAGCAGCAGGUUAAUACCCCGCUGUUCUGGCGGUACCCAAAGAAUAAGCACCGGCUAACUUCGUG
rnacentral:rRNA from 1 species